GACGAACGCUGGCGGCGUGCCUAACACAUGCAAGUCGAGCGGAGGUACAAUGAGAGCAAUCGAGAUGUACUUUAGCGGCGGACGGGUGAGUAACGCGUGAGCAACCUGCCUAUCACAGGGGGAUAAGGCGGCGAAAGCCGCUCUAAUACCGCAUGAGACCCUCAAAGCGAUGCAAUGGGGGUGAAAGGAGCGAUCCGGUGAGAGAUGGGCUCGCGUCCGAUUAGGUAGUUGGUAGGGUAAGGGCCUACUAAGCCAAUGAUCGGUAGCCGGCCUGAGAGGGUGAACGGCCACAUUGGAACUGAGAGACGGUCCAAACUCCUACGGGAGGCAGCAGUGGGGAAUAUUGGGCAAUGGGCGGAAGCCUGACCCAGCAACGCCGCGUGAGGGAAGAAGGUUUUCGGAUUGUAAACCUCUGUUCUUGGGGAAGAGGAGGAGACGGUACCCAAGGAGGAAGCCCCGGCUAACUACGUG
rnacentral:rRNA from 1 species